CGACUUUGGGAGGCCGGAGAGCAGGGAAGUCAGGAGUUGGAGGCCAGCCUGGUCAACAUGGUGAAACCCCGUGUCUACUAAAAAUACAAAAAUUAGCUGGGCGUGGUGGUGUGAGCCUGUAAUCCCAGCUACUCGGGAGGCUGAGGUAGAAUUGCUUGAACCUGGGAGAUGGAGGUUGCAGUGAGCCGAGAUCGCGCCACUGCACCCCAGCCUGGGCGACAGAGUGAGAAUAAAAGCACUGAAUGAGGCCUCCUUUGAGCUAGGUUCUGGGGUGAACAAGGCUGUGAACACAACAGUGACAAGAACGACCCCAGGUCCUGCCUUACAGAGCUUAGUCCGGUGUGGGUAGACAGCCCCAUCCUCAGACAGUGACAACCCCGACUGGUCAGGCGACGGGUCCCAGGCCGAGUCGCUGGGCUGUGUUGGGGAAGGGGGUGCUACUGCGCAGGCGCUGCGGGAGGCCACUGGGGCUCAAGCACCUCGGAUUCCCGCUCAUACGGCCGGCCGAAUCACGUGGCAGUCACGUGGCGACCACUGUCUAGCCCAACGUUCCGGUCCUUCACAUCCCCCUUCCCUCAUGAGACCCCCUAGCAGAUCCCUGCCCCGGAACCGGACCCCACAGACGCCCUCACUGCCCUUUCGCUUCCCAGUGGAGCUGGGUUCCAAGAGGGAUCUAGACACCCAGGUGGGCCUUCUGCACCACGUGGCUGUGGCGGGGGAGCCCAGGAUGGGGCCCGGCCAGGCUCCUGCUGAGAGAGAAAGUGUGCCGUGA
rnacentral:lncRNA from 1 species